rnacentral:tRNA from 1 species
AGCUGCGAGGUGAAUCCACAUUAGAGUGCAAAUCUAGAGAAGCACACCCCAAGGUGUGCCGCGGCUU